UACGAAGGGGGCUAGCGUUGUUCGGAAUUACUGGGCGUAAAGCGCGCGCAGGCGGUUCUUCAAGUCAGAGGUGAAAGCCCAGGGCUCAACCCUGGAAUGGCCUUUGAGACUAGAGGACUUGGGUACGGGAGAGGUGAGUGGAAUUCCGAGUGUAGAGGUGAAAUUCGUAGAUAUUCGGAAGAACACCAGUGGCGAGGGCGGCUCACUGGCCCGUUACCGACGCUCAGGCGCGACAGCGUGGGGAGCAAACAGG
rnacentral:rRNA from 1 species